CCUACGGGAGGCUGCAGUAGGGAAUCUUCCACAAUGGGCGAAAGCCUGAUGGAGCAACGCCGCGUGGGUGAAGAAGGUCUUCGGAUCGUAAAGCCCUGUUGUUAGAGAAGAAAGAGCGUGGGAGUAACUGUUCUCGUUUCGACGGUAUCUACCCAGAAAGUCACGGCUAACUACGUGCCAGCAGCCGCGGUAAUACGUAGGUGGCAAGCGUUAUCCGGUUUUAUUGGGCGUAAAGGGAACGCAGGCGGUCCUAUAAGUCUGAUGUGAAAGCCUUCGGCUCAACCGGAGAAGUGCAUCGGAAACUGGUAGACUUGAGUGCAGAAGAGGAGAGUGGAACGCCAUGUGUAGCGGUGAAAUGCGUAGAUAUAUGGAAGAACACCAGUGGCGAAAGCGGCUCUCUGGUCUGUAACUGACGCUGAGGCUCGAAAGCGUGGGUAGCAAACAGGAUUAGAUACCCUUGUAGUC
rnacentral:rRNA from 1 species